UAUAAAGUCUAACCUGCCCACUGAUAAUUAUUAAAGGGCCGCGGUAUUUUGACUGUGCAAAGGUAGCAUAAUCAUUUGUCUCUUAAUUGGAGGCUGGAAUGAAUGGUUGAAUGAAAUAUUAACUGUCUCAUUUUUAAAAUUUUAAAAACUUAGCUUUUAAGUCAAAAGGCUUAAAUGAAUUUAGAGGACGAGAAGACCCUAUAGAUCUUUAUAAUUUAUUUAAUUUUAUAAAAUAGAAAAAUAAUUAAUAAAAUUAAUAUAAUUAUUUUAUUGGGGUGAUAGGAAAAUUUAAUAAACUUUUUUUAUUAAUUAACAUUGAUUUAUGAUUAAUUGAUCCAUUUUUAGUGAUUAUAAGAUUAAGUUACCUUAGGGAUAACAGCGUAAUUUUUUUAGAGAGUUCUUAUCGAUAAAAAAGAUUGCGACCUCGAUGUUGAAUUAAAGGUUAUUUCUAGAUGUAGCAGUUUAGAGUUUAGG
rnacentral:rRNA from 1 species